CGUGGCUAACCUGCCCCUUAGGAUGGGAACAACCCCGGGAAACUGGGGCUAAUUCCCGAUAGGUGAAGAACUCUGGAAUGAGUCUUUGCCCAAAAGGUGUCGGAUCAUGCUUUCGGCAUCGCCUAAGGAUGGGGCCGCGACCGAUCAGGUUGUUGGUGAGGUAAUGGCCCACCAAGCCUAUAACCGGUGCGGGCCGUGAGAGCGGGAGCCCGGAGAUGGGCACUGAGACAAGGGCCCAGGUCCUACGGGGCGCAGCAGUCGCGAAACCUUUGCAAUACACGAAAGUGUGACAGGGUCAUCCCGAGUGCCGACCGCUGAGGUUGGCUUUUACCCAGUCUAGAAAGCUGGGGGAAUAAGGAGAGGGCAAGUCUGGUGUCAGCCGCCGCGGUAAUACCAGCUCUCCGAGUGGUGUGGACGUUUAUUGGGCCUAAAGCAUCCGUAGCUGGCUGAACAAGUCCCCUGUUAAACCCACCGAUUUAAUCGUUGGUCUGCGGGGGAUACUGCUCGGCUAGGGGACGAGAGAGGCAGACGGUAUUCCCGGGGUAGGGGUGAAAUCCUAUAAUCCCGAGAAGACCACCAGUGGCGAAGGCUGUCUGCUAGAACGCGCCCGACGGUGAGGGAUGAAAGCUGGGGGAGCGAACCGGAUUAGAUACCCGGGUAGUCCCAGCUGU
rnacentral:rRNA from 1 species